GCCGCAGACUCACCCUGUGCUAAGGUAGCAUAAUAAUUUGCCCUAUAAUUAAGGGAUAGUAUAAACGGAAUAACGAUUUAAUAACUGUCUCAAAAGUAAAAACUUAAAUUCACAUAAAUGUAAAAAGGCAUUUAUUCAUAAGAAGGACGACAAGACCCUAUCGAGCUUUACUAAAGUUAUGCUGGGGCGGCCAAUAAUCAAUUCUUAACUAUAUUAACAAAAUAAAGACCUAGAAUUUCUAAUAUUUAGAACAAGCUACCGUAGGGAUAACAGCGUAAUUUUUUCUAAUAGCACAUAUACAAGAAAUAGAUUACGACCUCGAUGUUGAAUUAAUUAUUCUAAAAUGAGCAAAAACAUUUCAAGAAAGUCUGUUCGACUUUUAAAUAAUUACAUGAUUUGAGUUCAGACCGGCGUAAGCCAGGUCAGAUUCUAUCCUCUUUAAUUUUCAUUCAGUACGAAAGGACAAAUAAAAAGAUA
rnacentral:rRNA from 1 species